rnacentral:rRNA from 1 species
AUUGAACGCUGGCGGCAGGCCUAACACAUGCAAGUCGAGCGGAUGAAGGGAGCUUGCUCCUGGAUUCAGCGGCGGACGGGUGAGUAAUGCCUAGGAAUCUGCCUGGUAGUGGGGGAUAACGUCCGGAAACGGGCGCUAAUACCGCAUACGUCCUGAGGGAGAAAGUGGGGGAUCUUCGGACCUCACGCUAUCAGAUGGGCCUAGGUCGGAUUAGCUAGUUGGUGGGGUAAAGGCCUACCAAGGCGACGAUCCGUAACUGGUCUGAGAGGAUGAUCAGUCACACUGGAACUGAGACACGGUCCAGACUCCUACGGGAGGCAGCAGUGGGGAAUAUUGGACAAUGGGCGAAAGCCUGAUCCAGCCAUGCCGCGUGUGUGAAGAAGGUCUUCGGAUUGUAAAGCUCUUUAAGUUGGGAGGAAGGGCAGUAAGUUAAUACCUUGCUGUUUUGACGUUACCAACAGAAUAAGCACCGGCUAACUUCGUG